UCUGGUGAACCUGUUGAUAUGCAUAAUAGUUUUCUACACUGUGUAUUAUGUGGUCCUCUCUGUGUGCUUUGCAGUAUUCAGGAUUAAAAUGUUGGAUGGUUUGGCACCUUUUGAUUUUAAAACAAAUCCCUCAUGGAUUAACCCAUAUUAUUUAGUUCUUGUGAUAUCCUUGGAAAUAACUUUCUUCAUUUGUGGUCUGCUGUUUGCUCUGGUUGUGGAAGAAUGGGUUUGGGACUAUGCUGUAACAGUU